rnacentral:rRNA from 1 species
AACGCGAAGAACCUUACCUACUCUUGACAUCUUCGGAAUCCUUUAGAGAUAGAGGAGUGCCUUCGGGAACCGGAAGACAGGUGCUGCAUGGCUGUCGUCAGCUCGUGUCGUGAGAUGUUGGGUUAAGUCCCGUAACGAGCGCAACCCUUGUCCUUAGUUGCCAACAGGUAAAGCUGGGAACUCUAAGGAGACUGCCGGUGACAAGCCGGAGGAAGGUGGGGAUGACGUCAAGUCCUCAUGGCCCUUACGAGUAGGGCUACACACGUGCUACAAUGGGCAGUACAGCGGGAAGCGAAGCCGCGAGGUGGAGCGAAUCUUAUCAAAGCUGUUCGUAGUCCGGAUUGGAGUCUGCAACUCGACUCCAUGAAGUUGGAAUCGCUAGUAAUCGUGGAUCAGAACGCCACGGUGAAUACGUUCUCGGGCCUUGUACACACCGACGCAC